rnacentral:tRNA from 3 species
AUCUAUAUAAUAUAAACAGUAUAUUUGACUUCCAAUCAUAAAGUCUAUUUCAAUAGUAUAGAUA